AUGUAUAUUUUUUGUAACUCCAUGUUCUCUUUUUGUAGAAUUAAAAGACUGCCACAUGGGGGUGUGAGGACAGGUAUGUUCUCCCCACACCAAGAGACCCUAAUUGUUGAUAUGGUCCAUGAGAACAAUGCCAUUAAACUGAGUGAAAUUCAGCAGAAGAUCAUUGAGGACCAUGCAAAUUUUGAGAGUAUCAACAGUGUCAGCCUCUCUACUGUUGAUCGUGUCCUCAAGCGCAACAGACUGCGCAUGAAACAGCUAUACAGAGUGCCCUUUGAUCGCAACUCAGACAGAGUCAAAGAGCAAAGACUCCAGUAUGUACAGAGGGUUUUUCAACUGGAUGCAAUGGAAAGACCCCAUGAAUACAUCUACAUGGAUGAAGCUGGGUUUAAUCUCACCAAAAGAAGGAGAGGCCGUAAUGUGAUUGGCCAUCGGGCCAUUGUUGGUGUUCUUGGGUAGCGUGGUGGCAAUGUCACAUUAUGUGCUGCCAUCAGCAAUCAUGGGGUUGUGCACCAUCAUGCCAACCUGGGGCCCUACAACACUCACCAGCUCCUCAUUUUCCUCAAUCACAUGCGAGAUGCUCUGUUAGGGCAGCAGGAUGAGCAUCCCAUCUAUGUUGUUGUUUGGGACAAUGUGAGUUUUCACAGAGCCCUCCAGGUUAGAGAGUGGUUCAAUAUGAACCAAGGUUUUAUCAAUCUUUGCCUUACCACCGUACUCCCCUUUCCUAAACCCCACUGAGGAAUUCUUCUCCUCAUGGCGGUGGAAGGUAUAUGGACGCCAACCUUACACCUGCAAGCCAUGGGACUUGCCUGUGGUGACAUAGGUGUGGAGGCAUGCCAAGCCUGGAUACAGCAUGCCAGGGGUUUUUUCCCUGUUGCCUAACCAGACAAAAUGUGGCCUGUGAUGUGGAUGAAGUCCUGUGGCCUGACCCAGUACAGAGACAUGAUGCUGUGGCUGAGUAAUGCACUUAUUUGUAUAUUUUUUGUACUUUAUUUUUACAUGGGCUUACUGUACACAAGUGUCAAACGCAUAAGAUUUCUGUUUUGUCUUUUUGUACAAGUGCUAAAUGCACAGGUUUUUUUUUGUUUUGCAACAUGCAUUUAGCCUACAGUGAACAAUAAACAUUUAUUUCUCCAGCUUCAUGUCCUGAGCAUUGUGUUUUCUAUUUUUCUACGUAGUGUUUAGUGAUUGUUCAGUAGUGUUUUUAAUUUUGAUUGACUCGGGGGACGAUUUGUCAACAUGGUUCAGUUUUGAGCACAGACUGAACUGUUUUGUGGUGAAAGUUUGGUUUUGCAAGAAGAGUCUGAGGUUUUGUGAAUGUAGCUUUUGUGUUCACAAUUUAGAGAAAAGGAGAGCAGCUUUCAAGAAAUGUGUCUUAGCAAUCGAGAAAAACUGUAAUAAAUAAUAAAAUGCAAAUCUAGUGGUCAGUCAUCGGAUUUUUAUUUCCUCUGUUUGUCUCUGUUUGCUGACGUCAGGCAGGAAUCAUGAAGGAUUUUGAGUGUGUUGGUCAGAGCUUCUGUCCUGCCAUCUGCUUCAUUAUUGAUGGACAGACAGAUAUAAAAAAAAGAGGCGAGCCGCGCACGAUUCUGAAGGGCACCACAUGAAAGACUGAUAGAGAGACAGAGACUGAGAGGUAGAGAGAGAGAGAGAGACUGAGACUGAGAGAGAGAGAAAGAGAGAGAUGCUGAUUGGUCUUUCAGGACUCCAUGGCAACAGAUACUGAGUGUGUUUGAUGAGAGAUGAAGCGUCAGACUGUAAGUGGCUCUUCAUGUUGAUCUGUGAGUAAAUCUGACCUCUUCAUCAUCAGGUAGAUGUUUGUUUCUCAUUCACUCUCUCUUCCUAAACUGGACGUCUUAACAGUUUCUCUCUUCAUCUCAUCCUAAUUUCUUGACGUGUCUCUCUGUUUAGUGUUUCGAUCUGCUUUAUUCUCGACAUCAUUUAUCAUGUUGCUUCCAAAAUAAUUUGACUUUACUUAAAGUACACGCUAAGACCAUGAUUACUUUAAUAUAAACCAUGGAACUGUAUGAUUCUCAAAUUUAUAUGGCAUUGUUUCUACAUUACAGUUUCUUUAAAGGAUCAUGAUCUAUGUGCAAAAAACAUUGAAAUACCACCGUGAUUUGUUAUAAUUGCAACUCAAGUCAAUCUAAGAAUUAUUUUCCUGCUUUGUUAAUCAGAAGUAGAAAUAAUAAAUCUAUUCUUAUAUUAUAGUUUAUGGAUGUUGCUAAGAGAGUUUUCAAUCUUUUCUUAGCCAAACAUGAUUAUGCUAAUGUAGGAGAAAGACAUCUAUAUAGUUUCAUCUAUACUGACCCACUUUAUACUAUGAAAGAAUAUUAUUAUAAAUAUGUCUAAACAUUUAUUAUUAUUAUUUGGUUAAUAUAUGUAUUAUUAUGUACUGUGAUAGCACAGUGUUUGUUUGUUUUGAUGUAUUUAUUAUAUAUUUAUGUGUUUGUUUUAAUCUAAUGUUUAUUUUUAAUCAAUUAUUAAUUCAUUUAUAAUAAUCUUUUUUAUUAAUAUUUUUCUUAUUUAUUUUUAAAUGUUUAGUUUUUCCCACUUUUUGUUAAAACAUUUACAGAAUCAACACAUUUAACUCAAUUGAUUGUUUUAUAUGUUCUUUUUUGUUUAUCUUAAUUUAAUGUUUAUUUAUUUAUUCAAUGUGAUCUAAUUUUAAGUAAUUUAUUUUCUACAGUUUUUAAACAUUUAGAGUUUAUUUUAAUUUUAUUUAUUUUAAUCAGAUGUUUAUUUAUUCUAUUCAAUUCUAUUUUAGUUUAAUUUUUCUUAAUUUUAUUUAUUUUUUACAUAAACAUUUAGAAAAUCCUCUACCUCUAACCCUCUAUAUUUUUAUCUUAUUUUAUUUUUUAAUUUGUUUUAAACUAAUGUUUAUAAUUUAUUCUUUAAUCCACUCUUCUUCUUUUUUAUUAGUUUAUAUUAAUCUUGUUUAUCAUUUAUUUAUUAUUACUUUUAUACACUAUUUCUCUAAAUAUUUUUAUGGACCUCCUAUCACCUCCUUGCGGCCCCACUGAGGAUCUCUGGACCCUAAUUAAAUAAAAAACCCUGGCCCAGACAACUAAUAUAUGAGUUUGUUGGCUUGAAUUGUGUUGUAGAAUCUGUUUGUCACUGCGAAUGAUUAAACAGGAGUGACAUCCGUAUUAAUCUGCAGUGUGAACGAGGUCUUUUAGAGUUGAAGACACUGAUCUCUG
ensembl:lncRNA